CAGACUGGAGAUUGCAUUUAUUUAUAUUUUUUUUCUGGGAAAUCUCUGUUUCAAACUCUGCAUGUAAUGGUUUGAAGAACCAUAAAACCCAUUUCAUUCACAUUACUUGUGGAUUGUUGACUCCUGAGGGAAAAAUGAACGGAGUACUUGCAAUGUAACGAUUACAAGUUUCCGACUUGGCAAACCUCGUCUAAUUUGGAAUCCGUUCUUCGUGUCAGUGAUUUUGUUCUUGAAAUUGCUAUCUAUGUGGGAUAAACCAUGAACAGAGCUUCAAGGGAUAGGAAGGUAUGUGUGGGAUAAACCAGAAUACGCUUUCUUACUCUUUCUGGGUUCUCUUGCUGGGCAUUUACUGGGAAAGGGAAGAAGUUUCGAGGUGUCCUAAAGCUCAUUCAAAUAGAUUGUGAGUAAUUCAACGUAUUUGAAGGUUGCUGACUAUUUUUAUUUUUUCAUUUGAUGCAUAAAUGAUUUUUCCCUCUGACCUGUAUUUUAGAAUAGGAAUCUGAUUGAACCUUGAUAUAUGAAACCAUUGGAUGUAAUUUAAAUUAAUCACUCACUAGCAAAUACUUACCAACGCGUUUGUUUUGCUUUACACUCCGUACUGGAAACCUUUGACUUUAUUAGUUUCUUGAAAAUAAAGGAUGCCUUCUGCGGUACAUUUUACGCGCUGCCUCUAGUAGCUGGGUUCCGGCUCUGGUGAUUGAAUUUACAUUGGCAAUUUUUAUUGAUUCCAAGGCCUUCAUUUCAAGAGAUGUGGUCUUAUUUUUGUUUUAUGACUUGUUCUUGUUCAUCUGCAAUGGCAAAAUGCCCUUUGAAGAUGAUAAUCUAUAUUAGUAUCGCUGCAACGAUGCCUUCUAUCAUGUCUUGCCAAUUUAUUUCUCCGGUUCCUUCUAUCAGUGUAUGCAAGAUUUAGACAGUAUGAAAGGUUUGUAGAACUGAUGAACAAGCUUUCCCUAUUUCUUAUUCUUGAAGGGGGUUAGCGCAAAUUUUUGUAGUCCAGCACUUGACAAUUGAGUAAAGGUGCUACUCCAAGAAAGCAAACUGUACCUGUGAUCAAUAAUGCUGGUAUUUGAUGGAAAUUAGGGAAAAUAUGUGGAAUGUUCAUUUACGGUUGUGAGAUUAGGGAAAUCUAAAAUUUAAUUGGCAAGGAAACAGAUCUGAAUUGGGCUGGAUCUGAAAGGAAAACGGAUUGAAAUGAUGCAGAGAGGAAAUUAAAUCCUCAUUUGGCACUUGAGUUUGAUUUUCUCCUUCUGCCAUGGUGCUUUCCUGACUUUUUUGGAAGAUCAUUUGUAUCAGGGGAUGAGUCACAUUUAAUUUACAAAUAUCAGUUGACCUUUGAACUUCUGAUCUUGCUGAUCUUGCAAAGGAAGCAAAUGAUCCAUUAUUGGAGGUGUCUUAAAGAUCAUGAAGUUAUUGCAGCUAUUGAUUUGCAGUCCAUGGCUCCAACCGGAGAUGUUAUCCAGGUUUAAUUGAUGUCGCCCAUGUUUCUAAGGAAGGAGGGAAGUUUCUUUCACAAAUAUUUAGAAGACAACGCACAAGCCUUCUAUAAUGUCAGAUUUGCUCUGUGGGAAAUUUAUAUGGUGGGAACUUAGUUUGACAAAUGCAAAAGGAUUUUUCUAAAUCUCCUUCAUCCUUCCUUUUCCAGUUAUUUUUUGCAGCGUACAUAAAGAAGGAACAAUAAAUUGUUUUUUCAGACUUUUGAUUAACACUUAAAAUGAAAGUUACAAACCUAAAGGUUAAUACCAUAUGACUGGUGACAUGGAAAGCUGCAUCUCCACAAUUCAUAGAUGUAGUAAUAUCUGCUAAAAAAGAAUGACAAAAUCCUCUAAUAUCAUUUCAACAAGUCUUGUAAAGGGAAUCAUGAGCCAACUAGAUAUACAAAGUAAUAUAGUGGUACUUUGUAAGAAAAAGAAAAGCACCAAGUUGCUUUCUAAAUUGAUUUGAUUCAUGAUAGCAUGCCUUUUGUAUGGUUAGAAAACCCACUCAUGAGAGUAUCUGAAGUUUCAGUUGUCCUUUUGAAAUUGUUGUGCAGUUCUAUGUCCUUGCUGCAUACUCAUCAACUGUCUUUGAAAAGUGAUACAGGCGUAUUAACUGUCUUUGAAAGUACUCAGAACUUCUUCAUGAUAUCAUUUAAUUUUCACCACAAUUUUUUAUUUUCAAUCUAUAUGCCUAGAUCACUAUAACAUGCUCUUGCUGCCUGCGUCACCUUUGCAUUUGCAGCUGAAAUUAUUCUUCCCUGUGGCAACUUUAUCAAAACCAAAAAGCAGCCGCAAUUUAAGCACGGGUGAGGAUUUUGGUUUCCCCUUUUCCUACUACUCUAACUUUUGAGAGAUGAACUUUGAAUUUGGAACCUGUAUAAUUUUGACGUUACCAAGUUAAGAUAACCGUCCAAGCUUACAACUGUUCCACUGGAUGAUGCCGAUGGCGAUACUGUUUCCUGAACGAGGUUCUUUCGACAUAAGCUGAACAAAAAGACAAGGUAUCCCGCAGAUACUGUUGCCUCCUUUAUUUCCUAUGCUUUUUCAUAUGGCAACAAACACCAGUGAUAUCGAUCCAAACCUGGAGGAACAUGACUUGCAUCGCAGGGUUGCUGGAUCAUCUAGGACAAAUUUCUCUGGUCAAAGAUUGCUGCACAACAUUAAACUUUGUUGGAUUAAGUAUAUAUUAAAUAGCUUAAGCCAAUUUGAUGGGAUUUACCUUGAGGUUAAAUUUUCUUCUUUUUGCCUAGGUUGGUACUUCAUUGGAGUUUCAGAGGCUUCAAAACCGUACCAAAUAGUAUUGAACUUCGUUGAAUGAAGUAUAUAUUAGGUUUGUCUUUUUAUCAAAAUAGCUUAAACUAAUUUGAUGGGACUUACUUUAAGGUUAUGCAGCUUUAAUUCAUUCUUCAGUUAAUCAAUGUGGGAUUUUUCAAUACAUUCUA